CCUCCUCCUUCGCGCCUCACCCGCGCCGCGCCGCCCCGGCGCGCUGCUGCUAUUUAUUCCCUCCAAAUCGCCAUUGCCCACAGCAGCAAGGAAUCAAGAUCCAAUCCCGUCCCCUCCCAUCCAAUCCUCCCCCGCGGCAACAGAGAUCCAGCCAGAUCCGCCUAGUUCCAUGGCGACCGCCGGCAACGCCCCCGCUCCCGCAAGCGCAUCGAGGCCAUCGUCCUCAAGCACGCGCGCGACGGAAGUGCCUUCACCAGCUGCGAGGUGUGCAACAAGGACGUAGCCAUCGUCCUCAUCGACCUGCACAGCUGCAGCCUCCACUCCAAGAUACGCCUCAGCCUCGGUGCAUCUCAGAUCCUCACCUAUUCCAAUGCAUCUUCGGUUUGGGCGGCCGGGCGGCAUGAGAAGAUCUGUUUGUUGCCUCACAGGACCAUGAGCCGGAGGCUGGAGCAGAUCUGGAGUUUAAUUUUUCAUAGUCCGGUUGUAAUAAUUUUCAACUUAUAGUCGGGUUGCUCUGCUCUCAGUCACUUUGUAGUUUUGUGAAUGUUCUCAUGUUGAUUCUAUCUUCCACCUGGCUCAAACAUUAGAGCAGCCUACUCGUUUUUAGGAGGAGUGGUAGUAUUUGUUAGUUUUUCUUGGAGGACAGUAAGAUCAUGCUUUGAUCUUGUAUGCUACUAUGGUUAUUUUGUAGCUAGUAUUUGCCAAAGGUUGGAGGUCAACGGUUGUCACAAGCCUACAAGAGAAUAUAUUGACAGAGAGUGUAAUGGUGUAAAGCCACCCAAUAAUUUCGUCGAAGUUGAUCCCUAGACCGCGUGGGCGUACAGACCACAGACCAUCUCGUUGUUACUGAUGGGAACGUGCUUUUUAAUGGGUGUAUUUGUGAUGAUAGUUGUUUUCUUGGCUUAUUCUUUUCUUCAAGAACCUUCAACAUCAUUCGGUGGUGGUGACCCAUAUGAUGGCGAUUUGCUCCGGCCAUUCCAAUUCUGGCGGUGGUGCUGCUCCUAUGAUGGUAGACAUGUCUGCCUCCCCUAGCUGCCACCGUGGUGAUGAAGCUCGGCCUAGGCUACAACCCCCUUCGAUGAUUGAUGAGCUGAUCUUCUUCCACCAGUGGUAGCGGGAGUGAUGCUGGAGCAGUACAUCGAUCAGUAGAUCAUCCUGCCAUUUGGGCAGGGAGAAGCUGGGACGGCCCUAAUGCGGUACAUCGAUCAGUAGAUCAUCCUGCCAUUUGGGCAGGGAGAAGCUGGGACGGCCCUAAUGCGGUAACAUCACCAUGUGGCAAACCAGUAGAUGGACACAACAUUGGUGCCUGGGUGAUGGGACAAAGUACGUGUACCAGUGAUGGUGCACGAUAUUCGUGCUUCUCAUUGAUGUGACGUGUUAUCAGCUAAAAUUUGUGCUUCUCGUCCAGUCUAUGUUGAUGUGCGCUUGUGCACUUGUUGGGCCUUUUUGUUGUGCACUUGCACUUGCACUUGUAGAACUAUUUUGUUGUGCAUUUGUUAGGCCUUGAACCUUGCUGUGUAGAGGAGUCGAUUGAUGAUGUAUUGUAUUUCAUGUGGAGGAGUCAAUUGAUGAUGUAUUGUAUUUCAUGUGAUG